rnacentral:misc_RNA from 1 species
GAACUGCGAUAAGUAGUGUGAAUUGCAGAAUUCAGUGAAUCAUCGAGUGUUUGAACGCACAUUGCGCCCCAUGGCAUUCCGGGGGGCAUGCCUGUCCGAGCGUCAGUGCUACCCUCAAGCACGGCUUGUGUGUUGGGCCGCCGUCCGCCCCGCCCCGCGGGGGGGACGCGCCCGAAAGGCAGCGCCGGCACCGCGUCCGGUCCUCGAGCGUAUGGGGCUUCGUCACCCGCUACGUGGGACCGGCCGGCCCCAGGCUUCGUCAACCACUUCUUUUAACCAGGUUGACCUCGGAUCAGGUAGGGAUACCCGCUGAACUCAA